GCCUCUCAUUGACCUUUGUUACCAUCUAUUUGAGAUAAUGUUUGAGUAGUCCUAUUUGUUUCACUAGCCAAACAGAACUUUUAUUUUUCUCAUUUGCAUUAUCACUAAACCAUUAUGAGAUUCGUCACCUUCAUUAUCAAGGAGCAGUAGUAGAAGAUAUUGAAUCAUGAAAGGGCUUCAAUCACUUUUCUCACUUAUGGAUCAACUCACGAAAUCAUUUACUGUGGAUUUCUGAUACAAAAGAGAAACCCAGUUAUACUUCUCAAUAGAAUCCUCAUUCUCCAAAAUAGUCCCAUAUUUCAUAAAACAUGGAUCAGGCUUUACAGUACUACUUUUUGAAAAGAUAAAUUAUUGUCAGUGCCAUGAAUCCUGGUAAUAGACACAGCCUUAAGCUACCUCUAUAUAGCAGUGGAAUCCAUACAUGUUGAAUCAUUGCUUUUUAUCCUGAUUUUCUCCUUGAUGUCAACUUGUCAACCACCCUAGGGAACAUUUGUUUACUCCUUUUUCUCAUUGAAGGAAUAUCAAAUACUGAGCUUGUAGCUUGUCCUAUUGCUUAUAUAUUUCUAAUGCAUGCAUCAGUGAUGUGCACCAUAUUAAAGUAUGGGAAUUUAUUUUGCUGUGGUACAUGCUGUGGAAAUUGUUAUUAUGCAUAGGGCUACAUCUAUGAUAAACAAAUAUGUAACGGGAUAACCAAUCCUAGACUAACCUAGCACUGCCAUUAGCAGUUCGAGGUUCCUAAUAUGUUCUAGCGCUAAUAAAAUUGAAUGCAAGUAAUAUAGCUGAGUAAAUCUUAACCUAAAAUCUGGAACAUUUGUUACGUGUUCAAAAAGUUGAUGGGGGGUGAGUAGAGAGAAUAUUUCAAGUUUUUCUUUGUUAUGUUCUCUACAUUUUAUGGGCUCCAUUUGUAUCAGAUGUAUCUCUCAUCUCUCUAUUAUAUAUAUCUGGAAAUUUAGACGAGUCUUAUCUUAAGUUGGCGGGACCUAUCGAACUCAACCAAGUUUUGAUUUGAUCGGUAUUCAACUUGCAGAAUUGCUUUCGGUUCUCGAAUCUGGAUAUGUACUUUUCCAGGUCCACUAAUGGCUACAUUUAGAAAGCAAGAGACCCUGACUUCUCGGCACCGGACCCGUGAUCUCGAAGGUAAAGAAUGCAUGCAUAUAUAGACAUAAAGUCGAUUGUUGACAGGAUCACAUGGACCUUUCACCUUCACGGACCACAUGACCCCAUCAUAGGGUUUAUGCCAAGGUUUCCUACAAAGAUCAAUAUGCCGUUUGGGUCAUUGGCUACACUAGUGUCUGAAAUGCUGCAGUCUCUCGUCCAUGUUAUAUACUUGAGAUCAGAUAAGUACUAUCUAUUUUACAUUGUUUUUGAAUCGUAAUAAUCUGGUGUAUUUUCUCGUUUCUACUUGUUUUUUAUUAUUGUUCUAUGAAUGUAAUUAAAGGAACGUCCAGUAAAGCUCAUGUUUCAACUUUCA